rnacentral:lncRNA from 1 species
CUUGUCCAAAUACCACCACACUGGGUAUCAGGUUUCAACAUGUAAAUCUGGGAGGCGGGCAAAGACAUUCAAUCAAUAGCAAUUGUUAAGAUGUCAAAUUUUCCCAAAUUGAUCUAUAGAGUUAACACAACUCCAUACAAAAUUCAAGGCUUUUUUACAUAAAUUGACAACGUGAUACUAAGAGUUAUAUGGAAAUAUGGAGGGCCUAGAGAAGCUUUUAUUUUUUGAGAUGGAGUCUUGCUUUGUCGCCCAGGCUGGAGUGCAGUGGCGUGAUCCCAGCUCACUGCAACCUGUGCCUCCUGGGUUCAAGGGAUUCUCCCACCUCAGCCUCCCCAGUAGCUGGGAUAACAGGUGCCUGCCACCACGCCUGGCUAAUUUUUGUAUUGUUAGUAGAAACAGGGUUUUGCCAUGUUGGCCAGGCUGUUCUUGAACUCCUGACAUCAGGUGAUCCACCCACCUCAGCCUCCCAAAGUGCUGGGAUUAAAGGCAUGAGCCACUGCGCUUGGUUACAAUUUUUUAUUUUAUUUUAUUUUGUAUUGUUUGUUUAUUUAUUUAUUUUUGAGAUGGAGUCUUUCUCUGUUGCCCAGGCUGGAGUGCAGUGACAUAAUCUCAGCUCACAGGAACCUCCGCCUCCCAGGUUCAAAUGAUUCUCCUGCCUCAGCCUCCCAAGUAGCUGGAAUUACGGGCGUCUGACACCACACUCAGGCUCAUCAAUGCACCGUGUGGCCAAACAGAACAGAAGCUUGUUUUUCAUUCACGCUACCUCCUCCUCUCAGAGCUGGCAGGAGUUCUUGUCCACAUUGUUAAGCGGGGUCAUUGAUGACUGAACUUCCCACAUUUUGUGACAGCAGCAUCUAGAAUAUGCAGCACUCUCCAUCAUCAUGAGAGAAAAAGAGAUUGGAGAAUCACCCAGAGCUCUUUAUUGCCUCAGCCAAAUAAGUGACACAUGUCAUGUCUCACGAUUCAUUGGCCAGAACUAGUCCCGUGGCCCUGUCUGACUGCAAGGGAGCUGGACAACGUGAAGGAGCAGGUGGAAUAUUGGAUAUUUAAAUACCACUGCUUUAGUACAGUGGUUAAGAGUAAAGUAUUUGAAGUUAUAAGGAGGUUGGUUCAAAAAAUAAUGACUUUGCAGACAGGCGCGGUGGCUCACGCCUGUAAUCCCAGCACUUUGGGAGGCUGAGGCAGGCAGAUCCCUUGAGGCCAGGAGUUCAAGACCAGCCUGGCCAACAUGGUGAAACCCCAUCUCUACUAUAAAAACCAAAAAAAAUUAAUCGGUUGUGGUGGCACAUGCCUAUAGUCCCAGCUACUCGGGAGGCUGAGUCAGGAGAAUCGUUUGAACCUGGG